rnacentral:lncRNA from 1 species
UCGUUGUUUUACUAAUUAUUAGUUUCGAAAAACUGAAAAAGAGAUGUAGCUUUUGUUUAAGAUUAUAAAGACAACGGAAUGAUCACUUGUUUUGGAAACGUGAAUGGCUGCACGAAAAAUAUCACAGCAGAUAAAAUGACAAAAGUCGUGUCAACUCUGGUUGCGUCAUCUCUUUAUGGAAUCGCCAAAUACAACUCAUGCUGUUUAAAGUGUUUAGCCUACAGAUGUGAGGCCAGAGCCAGCCUUAUCAUAACCACAAGAUAUGCAAAUUUUGCUUGUACUAGUAUUGGCAUGUCAUCAACAGCAAUCUCAUCACUUGGAUAAACAGCUCAUCCCUCUUGAUAGGAGAAACUUUUCCAUGUCAGUCGAGUAACGGAACUCUUCUUCCCCUUUCUUUAAAUGUCCUGGUGUACGCCCAUGUGAGUGUGGGUGUAUUCACAAGGACGCCUUUUUUCCCUAUCCCGCCUGGUGGAUUCAACUCUUCAGCGGAUGGAUGGAGCAACUGUAAAUGGAUGCCUGGCC